rnacentral:rRNA from 1 species
UACGUAGGGUGCAAGCGUUGUCCGGAAUUAUUGGGCGUAAAGAGCUCGUAGGCGGUCCGUCACGUCGGGCGUGAAAACCCAGGGCUCAACCCUGGGCCUGCGUUCGAUACGGGCGGACUAGAGUUCGGUAGGGAGGACUGGAAUUCCUGGUGUAGCGGUGAAAUGCGCAGAUAUCAGGAGGAACACCGGUGGCGAAGGCGGGUCUCUGGGCCGAUACUGACGCUGAGGAGCGAAAGCGUGGGGAGCAAACAGG